rnacentral:rRNA from 1 species
AUGUAAGGUUAAGGAAAAAAGGGCGCACAGUGAAUGCCUAGGCACCAAGAGCCGAUGAAGGACGCAACUAACGGCGAAACGCCACGGGGAGCAGUAAGUACGCGACGAUCCGUGGGAAUCCGAAUGGGGAAACCCAUCACGUGGAAGACGUGAUAUCCGACACUUGUGGUCGGAGGGAAAACGCGGGGAACUGAAAUAUCUAAGUACCCGCAGGAAAAGAAAGUAAAAACGAUUCCGCUAGUAGCGACGAGCGAACGCGGAGGAGCCUAACACCAGAAUAGUUACAAAACCAUAGAUUAGAAGAAUGGCGUGGGAAAGCCAACCAUAGAGGGUGAGAGUCCUGUAUUUGAAAAUGUAUGGACUAGGGUGUUGAGAAGUACGGCGAGACACGAGGAAUCUUGUCGGAAGAUGCGAGGACCAUCUCGUAAGGCUAAAUACUCCUUGGUGACCGAUAGUGAACCAGUACCGUGAGGGAAAGGUGAAAAGAACCCCGGGAGGGGAGUGAAAGAGAUCCUG